GGUACCGGGCCGGAAUGGGAAAGACAAUUUACAUAUGAAAGAGAGGUGAGGGAAUUGGUUCUCUCCCGUCCUACACUCACACUGGACAACAAUACGACAGUGUGAACACUUGGUUACCGAGAUUCGCUUUGUCUUUGACCAAUAAAACCUUGAGUCGUGAUUUUUUGAUGAAAUUACAAGUGUAUCAACAUUAAAAUAAUGAAAAAUGAAAUAACGCAAAAAGUAACCAUAAACUUUUUCCUCUACUGAUUUUUAUAAGCAUGUGCUUUGGGGCACAAUGGGACGAUUUCACAUAAAGAAAAAGUAAAAGGAAAAGGAAAAAAAAAAAAAAAAA